rnacentral:pre_miRNA from 1 species
AUGAUAAGAACAUGUCAAGAAGCCAAGAUGAUUGCCAGAUACCAAUUUAAAGAUCCGAGAGCGAAAGAAAAAGAUGACUUAUCAUGCAGCUGGCAAGUCAUCCUUGACUACCAAACAAAAUGUUCUUAUCA